rnacentral:snRNA from 1 species
AGCUUUUAGCAGUGGCAGUAUUGCUGCCAAUGAGGUUUAUCUGAGGCAUGAUUAUUGCUAAUUACAAUAUACUAGAAUUUUUCUUAUAUGUAUCCAUA